GACGAACGCUGGCGGCGUGCUUAACACAUGCAAGUCGAACGGAAAGGCCCUGCUUUUGUGGGGUGCUCGAGUGGCGAACGGGUGAGUAACACGUGAGUAACCUGCCCUUGACUUUGGUAUAACUUCAGGAAACUGGUGCUAAUACCGGAUAGGAGCUCCUGCUGCAUGGUGGGGGUUGGAAAGUUUCGGCGGUUGGGGAUGGACUCGCGGCUUAUCAGCUUGUUGGUGGGGUAGUGGCUUACCAAGGCUUUGACGGGUAGCCGGCCUGAGAGGGUGACCGGCCACAUUGGGACUGAGAUACGGCCCAGACUCCUACGGGAGGCAGCAGUGGGGAAUAUUGCACAAUGGGCGGAAGCCUGAUGCAGCAACGCCGCGUGCGGGAUGACGGCCUUCGGGUUGUAAACCGCUUUCGCCUGUGACGAAGCGUGAGUGACGGUAAUGGGUAAAGAAGCACCGGCUAACUACGUG
rnacentral:rRNA from 1 species